rnacentral:rRNA from 1 species
UACAGAGGUCUCGAGCGUUAGGCGGAAUCACUGGGCUUAAAGCGUGUGUAGGCGGAUCGGUAAGUACCUUGUGAAAUCCCACAGCUUAACUGUGGAACUGCUUGGUAUACUGCCAGUCUUGAGCCAGCUAGGGGCUACCGGAACAAAUGGUGGAGCGGUGAAAUGCGUAGAUAUCAUUUGGAACGCCAAAGGUGAAAACAGGUAGCUGGGGCUGUGCUGACGCUGAGACACGAAAGCCAGGGGAGCAAACAGG